rnacentral:lncRNA from 1 species
UAAAAUUUAUAACAGCAAAAUGAAACGAAUGAAAGAGUAGUAGAAGCACGCACUUUUCCGAUUAGGAUCUCGUUGGUGUGGGGACCGUACAUGUCGGAGGUAUCGAGAAAGGUGACGCCGGAGUUGAUGGCGUGGUGAAUGAGUUUGAUCAUAUCGGGCUCGGGCUUCGGCAGCCUGUAGAGGCUGAAUGCUAUGGUAGAGUCCUUGUUUGGACGCCUCCAGGUCGUGCGAUCGGAGCUUGACUCUCGUUAGGUUUACUCCAGUUUUCCUUAACUGUUUUUCAAAAAUUGGUAUUUGAUGAAUUCGAUGUUUCAAUUUUAGAUUAGUGGGCUGUUGAGUGUGUCACUUGGCAGUUGAGGAUUCAAUUGUGGUGAGUUUUUAAAGGCCAAACAGAGUACUGAAUCAUGGACGGAGGGAGUACAAUUUUGAUAUUUCAACCUUGAAGUUUUAAUUGUUAUAUCGCGUCAUUUUGUUGCUUUUAGCAACCCUUACCAUCAAAGGGUUUUUUCCAUCUUGCACCUAGGUGCAUCGUAUCUAGGUGCUGGAUGGGCGACACGUGGCUUCCCCUUAAAUUCCAUUUUCUUUUAUUUUUUUGAAUCAUUUAACUAAACCCAGGUUCUAAAAUGGGCCCCACUUGGCAGUUGAGGUUUGCUCAAUACAUUAUUUAUACUGUAUUUUGUUUUAAUUUUAAAUACAUCUGCGGGCCCCACUAUUGUAAAAGCUUCGAAGGGAAGCUUCUAUUCCUUAAAAAGAUCUGAAACAUCAUUCAAUUAUUUUUGAAUUUUACAUGUGGGUCCCAUUUUAGUUCGAAGCUUGCAAAAUUUUGUGUAAAAAAUUUUGCUUUGUCAUUUUUUUUGGUGGGAAGAAGUCCGUCACCGUCAAACUAAGAAGUCUGUCACCGUCAGCUUUGGCAUCCUUGCCGGAGACAUCUUCCCGGAGCAGCGGUUGUCGUUAAGCCCCCGACGGAGGUUUUUUGGGUUGGAAGGUCUAAUGGUACUAUGUUCAUCAUUUUGCAUCUAUGUUUUCCGUAGCUGUGGCUGGCGUUAACCCACCGGCGAAGCGAAGUUCCGGUAUGGCGGUAUAGCAGAAGCAAGUGAGAUUCUGAAAUAGCGAAAUUUUGGUAGACAUUUGUUCUUUUUAAUUUUGAAAAUCUUUAACUAUAUACUAUAUUGUAGAAAUGGUGUAUGCAUGUAGUUGUUGCUCUUAUGAAAUGUGGCAGGUAGUUAAAUGCAAUUAGGGUUUGUAGUUUUGUGUGUGGAUAUGUAAUGUGAGCCCUGAGUUCGUCAGUUUGGUGUGUAUGAAGGUUGUUCUUAUUGUUUUUUGGUUGAGUGCUUGGAUCUGCGAACAUUAUUUUUUUGGAGGAACAAAUACCCCAAAUGGGUUCUUCGAUGGCUUGUUUAUUUAAUAUGAGUUUUUUGAUUCCUGUAGUAUUGUUUUAUAAUGUUUUGUCAUAAAAUAAUUGUUUAAUUGUAGUCAUUUUUUCUUUGAUUAGUGAAAAUGGUGUUAGAUUUGAAUGUGCCGACUGGAAUAGAUGAAUUGGAAUAUUACAAUAAUAUUGUCAAUGAUGAUGCAAUAGACUGGGGCAUGAAUAAUGUACGUGCUGAGGAUUUUUCAGCAUAUGGGUUUGAAACGGAAGAAAAUGUGAAUGUAGAAGAUGUAGAUGUGAAUGAAGACGUUGUGAAUGAAGAAGAAGAGAAUGUUCAAGCUGUGGAAUCUGAGUUUCUCGUCGAUGGUGAAGAUGUGGCGAAUGAAGAUGUUAAUUUGUCAUCUAGAGAGUCAGAGGAAAAAUUAUCACCUGGGUGUUUAGUUGACGGGGUCGAUGAGGCUUUUUUGUUAUAUUGUGCCUAUGCCAAAAUGACUGGAUUCAGUGUAAGGAGAGGGAACGAAGAAAAAUUUAGGCGGAUAAAAUUAUUGCGUAUGAAGACAUUUGUAUGUAGUUGUCGGGGUUCGACACCUAGUAGUCACAUUGAUGGUCGUUUACCUGUAUAUAAGAAGCAAACAACUCGGUCCAACUGUCAAGCCCUUUUGAGGGUUGCUCGUGUUGAGGGAGGGUCGUGGAAGGUAACGACAUUCACUAAAGAACACAACCACGAGUUACUUGCCAAGGAUCAAGCCUAUUUGCUUCGUUCUAGUCGCACCUUUCGUAUGCUAAGAAGUCUAUGUUGGAGGCUUUGACUUCAGCCGGCAUACCAAUAAGCCGGGCUUGACGUUUCAUGGACAAUGAAUCUGGUGGCCUUGAAAAUGCCGGAUUUAUUCGUAAAGAUGUUACCAUCAUAUGGACAAUGUUAGAAGAAAGUCUAAGAUGACGAUGGAGAUUCAAGGCUCUCAUGCAGUACUUUGUUACAAGUCGAACAAAGAGCCUUUUUUCUACUGGAAUAUGCAAAAGGAUGAUGAUGGUCGACUUAUGAAUUUAUUCUACCGUGAUUCUCGUAGUGGCCUUGAUUACGAGUAUUUUGGAUGUGCUAUCCGUUGACACAACCUACAAGACGAACAAAUAUGAUCUUAUUUGUGCUCCCUUUGUAGGUAUGGAUCAUCACUUUGGAAAUAUUGAGAAUGCCCUUAAUAUUUUAUCUUUGAUUGCAUGAAGUGGUUAUAGUUCCUUAAUUAAUGCUAAAAUUGAUAAUGCCUUUUCACAUACAUUCGACCUCUAUUUUGUGCUUUACUGAGAAGCCCAAAACAUCAUGAUGAUAGACAUUCUUUAUAUUUUUUUUGACCUAAGGCUUAAUUAUUUGUGAGCUUUAUUUGACUUUUUCUUAUUUACACCUUUAACAUUGAUUAAGGGGCCAAGAAUAAUUUUAGCUUCGAUCCAGAUAACAUUGCCUAUUUCUGUAAAAGUUUUUUUCAACUUUAUUUGCCAUCGAGAAUAAUUAUUUUUGGAGUAUUUUUUGGCUUAAUUUAGAACAGCUUAUGUACACCUUUGUUCUUACAUACAUUAUGGCUUAACAUUACCAUUUUUCUCAAACUAUAAUUUUUAUUAUGUUGAUUUUUAGGUAUUAAUCAUCACUUGAAGAAUUGUAUGUUUGGGUUGGCUUUCCUUUCUGACGAGACAACGGAGACAUUUGAAUGGUUGUUUUCAACCUUUCUCGAGUCGAUGAAUGGAAAGCAACCGGAAGUUAUAUUCUCCGAUCAAUGUCAAGCUUUGAUGAAUGCUAUUGAUUCUCAAUUCAAAGGCGCGGCUCAUCGCCUAUGUCAAUGGCAUAUCAAUCAAAAUGCCCCUUCUCACUUUGGGUCUUUGAAUGGUAACAGUGAGUUCAAGAGAGCUUGGCAUCAUUGCAUGAAUUGGUGCGAGAGGAGGAAGAAUUUGAAAGCUUGUGGACAAAAAUGAUUGGAGAUUAUGGAUUGACUGAGCAUCGGUGGUUUGCAAGUAUGUACAAAUUGCGUCAGAGAUGGGCUUCUGUUUUCACUAACUCUCGUUUUUCUGCCGGAUUACAUGCUACUUCGCGAAGCGAAGUAACGAAUAGGGUUUUGAAGGAUUUGAGUAGAAGAAGUGGCUCGUUAUUUGAAUUUGUCCUCAAUUACGAACAAAUUCAAAAGGAUUGGCGGGUCAAAGAAAGAGCGGACGAUGCUUUUUGUAUUGGGAUGCCCGAUCAAUUUGUUGAGCACAAUCCACUGGUGGUGGCAGCAGCAAAAUUCUUUACACGAGCCGUUUUUGUUUCGUAUGAGUUCGAGGCCAAUCACUCAUUGAAUGUGAGCAUCGUUGAAAAUCCUACGGAGGCCGACCAACAACAGUUAUGUUUUAUUGUGAAAACGACUACAUCUGUAAAUCGGACACGAUGUGUACUAUUACAUCGUACUUCUCACGAAGCUUCAUGCACCUGCCGGUGUGGGAUACUUCUGGCAUCUUGUGUCGUCAUAUUUUUCGGAUAUAUUACCAUAUGAACGUGCAUUUAUACCGAAAAAGUAUUUGUUGCGGAGGUUGUCAAGGGAAGCAAAACACGAAUUGGGCUUGAUGUUGGGGUCGGCGUUACAGGUCCGAGUAAUGGUCAUAUUUCGUUGGCUAACUCUGCCAUGAAUAGCCAUGUGAUGCGCGGGAUGUACGAGCUGCUGAACAAUGAUAAAGUAAAUGAAGCUUGCGUCAAUUAAUUCUCCAAAAAUUCGGUGACCUACAAAAUGAAAUACAUCUGCGGUUAAGGGCUUAACCCACGAUGAUCGACAUGACGACACCCCUGUUCAAAAUCCAACGGCCGAUGCAUUCACCAUCCAUGAUCCUGUGUUCCUGUGAAGCGAAGGUUUACAAACACUCGGCUUAGCCGACACUGGAGAGGCCGAAAAAGAGAGGGAGAAAAUGUGGAACGGCAUUAGGUUUUGUAAUGAUAGAUUUACUAUAAUAAUAAGCACUUUAUAUUUCAUAUUAUUCGUCUUAAUCUGUAAAUAUUCGUUUUUGUGCAGGUACCGAACCUAUUUCUCAUGCCACCACAUCUACCAAUCACCCAACAAAUGGCCUUUUUACUUCUAAUGGGGUAAUUUUGUAUAUUUUUGAGGUUUUUAUCCUAUUAUUUUUAUUCCAUUAUUAUUUACUUCCUUUCUUUUGUUUAUUGAAGAUAAUAGAACAAUAUGAGGCUUCCUUUUUCUCCACACAGUAGCUGUCGAAGAUGGUGACUUUUUUUGCUUAUUUAGAGGCUCCAGGUACGUAAUGUAUUUCAAUAUUCUUGCAUGUGAGCAUUUGAUGGAAAUAUACUUAUAAGUAAUGAAUCAAUUUGAGGCAUUAUUUUAUUCAACCCAAUAGCUAUAUAUCUUGUGACUUUUGGGAAUCUUGCUUCUUAAAUUCAGCAGGUACUUCUUUGUGAAUUUUAUCUCGUGACUUUUGGGAAUCUUGCUUGAUGGAAAUAUACUUAUAGGUAAUGAAUCAAUUUGAGGCAUUAUUUUAUUCAACUCAAUAGCUAUAUAUCUUGUGACUUUUGGGAAUCUUGCUUCAUUUAAUAAUGACAAUGGCCUACUAUUUGCAUGUAGCAGGUAUUUUUUUGUUUGAGAGUCUUUCUUCUUAAAUUCAAGGCCACAUUAUAGUUGCUAGUUAGGUGAUUCUUGCUUCAUUUCUACCUUUUUGUUUUUUUGUGGUUAAUUUCAAUCUUAUAUGAUGAUGAUCCAGAAAGCUUUACAAGUGACUCCAUCGCAGGCGAUGCAUUGUGAAAUUGAAGAUGUUUGGUUGUGAAAUUGUACCUUUUGGAAUCUUGUUUCAAAAAUUCAAUGUUCCAUUAUCGUUUUGAUUCUUGGAUAUUCCCUUUUGUUGAGUAUAAAUAUAUAAACUCAUCAAUUACUUAGUUGUGUUCAUGUCUUUGUUUCAUUAAAAGCAAUUUUAUCCUACAAAAAAAUGCCUCCCAAUUCUCAAGACAUACUAUAUUAUAGAGAGCCUUGGACUAGAUUGGUUGAAAAAAUAGUAUUGCUACAACUGAAAAAAGCAAACGACGAGGACAGAUGGUUCCCACAAAAUGAUUAUUGGAAUAAAAUUUGUCUCGAUGAAGUGCGUGAUGAAUUAUCGGGGCGCCCUUUUUAUCUGAACUAUAUCACGCAACAUCAAUAUCGUUUAAAGUAUGCCGAAUGGAAGGUAAGGCAUUUGCAAUUUAAGAUGUUGCUCGAGCAUUUCACUGUUUGGUACGAUGAAGAAUCAAACACUGUUUAUGCCGCUGAAGCAACGUGGGAGCUCAUUCGGCGGGUAAGUUUUAUUAUAUGUAUUCACAAAUCAUUUUCCUUCCACAAAUCAAUUAAUCAUAUAUGAUAUUUUGUAAAGUAUGUUUCAGUGUUAUUUUUUUUUUUUGAUUAAAUGUAACAUUUAUUUUAUAGCGCUGUCCGGAUUUGAUGUGUUACAAUCCAGAGGGAGAGAAAAAUUGGGCCAUCUUGAAGGAAUUAUAUGAUGACCCUAAAAACAGUUUACAGAAGUGGAAAUAGAUUUUCAGACGAUCAAACUUAAUUUUUUUUUUCUUUUUGUUCAAAUUAGAAGAGGGUGGUCUCAGGUAUGGACUUUCCAAGAUGACAAUGGUGGCGUGUUGGAAUGUAUCCAUGUAUUCUCCAUGAACACAUGCCUCUCCCCCUUAACCAUGUCAGCCAAAGCCGAGAGCUGAUCCAUCUCUUCUGGAGUUAGUUUCACCGAGAGAGCUCCAAUAUUCUCAUUGAUAUUGUCGAUCUUGGUGGUGCCGGGUAUAGGGCACACGUCAUCUCCUUGGUGAUGAACCCAAGCUAAAGCCAGUUGAGACGGGGUGCAGCCUUUUCUCGUAGCCAUUUCACUGAUCUUUUCAUAUACAACCUUGUUGGUUUCAAAAUUCUCAGCCUUGAACCUUGGAAAGAGCUAGAAAAUUCGACAGACCAUUAUCAGCAUAUUUAAGUAAAAACAGCUUUUGACAUCUUCAUCGUUAAAAAGACAGAAUUGAAAAUAGAUUCUAAGACCAUCUGCAUAGGAUCAAACCCAGCCUUAUUAUGGCCUCUGUAAACUUCAAGCAGAAACUUCCUUAACUAAUUGAAGGGAACAUAUAGGGAUGGCAUUGGAUAAGAAUAAUCUGUUCUUGCAACCACAUAAAAUGUAGCUACCCUCAUCUAAUUUCAAUAAGGUCAUUGCUAUUACUUCUAGGUAUGACAAACAAGUAAUAGUUUAAUCUAGCAGUAGGAACUAGGAAAGGAGACGACUGCUAGAUAGAUAUAAGUCAAGCUAAAGGAAUUACUAUAUGCAUCGAUAAUUUUAUAUUUGUCUUUCUUAUGAAGCUAUACGAGAUAUGCACCAACCUUACGCAUGUCGCCCUCUGGCAAGUUCUGUAUCAACUUGGGACCUACUGAAAAGAAGCCACGUCCGAGCAGACUGUAUGGGACAAUUCCAAUGCCAAGUUCUCUGAGAUCACAAUACAUGCAGAAAGUUGAUUGAAUAUACUCAUCAUUUUCUCAAAUCCUAUAUUACUGACAAACUACCUCAACCUCGUACCUGCAAGUAGGAAUUAAUUCUUCUUCCAAAUCUCUUGACCACAAUGACCAUUCAUUUUGGACGGCAGUAAUUGGGUGAACAGCAUGAGCCCUUUCUUAUUGUCGAAGUAGAGGCCUUCUGAGAGCCCAACAUAUUUUUAUUUUCCCUUCUUCAACCAGUUUCUUAAGUUCUCCCAUCUUAUAGUUUCAAUUCAUGAUCAUAUAGCUUAACUAUCAAACUCAAUUCAGUCUUUCUACAAAUAUUUAUAUAAGAGUCCGACCAUGCUGCUAUUCUAAUGCAAAGAAUAUACACUCAAGUAUCUUUUGAAUUUUGAAAUCAUCAAUAUUCAUCAUAAGUUAUUGUUAAAAUUUAAACUUCAAAUGGACCACGGAUCAUUAAGUAUACAAACUUCAUAUUCCAACAGAGUUUUUCUUCAGAAGAAUACUCACUGUGACUUCAAUGGGCACACGAGUGUCGAUCCUAUGAAUGUAAUAAAGAUCAAUACAGUCAAUAUCAAGACGCUUCAAGCUCGCCUCGCAUGCAGCCCUCACAUAUUCUGGUUCACCAUGUAUACCCAUUUUCCCAUCCCUGUGUAAUAUCCCAAACUUAGAAGCAAUUUGCACGUUCUCCCUCAUCCCCCCUUUUAAAGCCUGCAACAAUUUCAACAGACUAGUUCAGGAAAAUCUUGGUGCAUUUUAUUCAAAUCUCGACUCAAUAAAUCCAAUAAGUUGUAAACACAAUGUAUGCAACGUCUCCAUGAGAACCUCCUUAACCAGAUUAUGUUCAAACAAACAACUAUGAAGAUUAUCAUAAUCAAAUUGUUAUUCGAAGCAUAAUAAUUGUUCAAUACAUAUAAUAUAAUAAGUAGCAUAUGUUUAUUCCCUUCUUUGUCCUCUGGUAAUCUAAAUUAUCUAACAAACAUAUGCCGCCGAAUGCAUAACUGCACAACUACAUCUUCACUUGAAGAUCUCUUCUCUGAAAUGUUGUAACAUUAAUACUUCGCUGAAAAUCAAUAACCUAGUUAGCAGAAGUUACAAUUAGACUAAACCUCGAUGAGUCAAUACUCGAACAUAAUAAUUUUCUAAAAGAAUAAAAUUACUACUCAAUAGAUUGAAUUCAUAACUUAAGCAGAAGGAAAUACCUUUCCAAUAAGAAUUUCGUUGGUAUGGGGACCAUAGGCAUCGGAGGUGUCGAGAAAUGUGACGCCGGAGUUGAUGGCGUGGUGGAUGAGUUGGAUCAUCUCGGGCUCGGGCUUCGGCUGGCCGUAGCUGGCGGACAUGCCCAUGCAGCCGAGGCCUUGUUUGGACACCU